rnacentral:rRNA from 1 species
UCUACAGGCUUAACACAUGCAAGUCGAGGGGCAUCAGGAAGAAAGCUUGCUUUCUUUGCUGGCGACCGGCGCACGGGUGAGUAACACGUAUCCAACCUGCCCUUUACUCGGGGAUAGCCUUUCGAAAGAAAGAUUAAUACCCGAUGGCAUAAUGAUUCCGCAUGGUUUCAUUAUUAAAGGAUUCCGGUAAAGGAUGGGGAUGCGUUCCAUUAGGUUGUUGGUGAGGUAACGGCUCACCAAGCCUUCGAUGGAUAGGGGUUCUGAGAGGAAGGUCCCCCACAUUGGAACUGAGACACGGUCCAAACUCCUACGGGAGGCAGCAGUGAGGAAUAUUGGUCAAUGGGCGCUAGCCUGAACCAGCCAAGUAGCGUGAAGGAUGAAGGCUCUAUGGGUCGUAAACUUCUUUUAUAUAAGAAUAAAGUGCAGUAUGUAUACUGUUUUGUAUGUAUUAUAUGAAUAAGGAUCGGCUAACUCCGUGCCAGCAGCCGCGGUAAUACGGAGGAUCCGAGCGUUAUCCGGAUUUAUUGGGUUUAAAGGGAGCGUAGGUGGACUGGUAAGUCAGUUGUGAAAGUUUGCGGCUCAACCGUAAAAUUGCAGUUGAUACUGUCAGUCUUGAGUACAGUAGAGGGGGGCGGAAUUCGUGGUGUAGCGGUGAAAUGCUUAGAUAUCACGAAGAACUCCGAUUGCGAAGGCAGCUCACUGGACUGCAACUGACACUGAUGCUCGAAAGUGUGGGUAUCAAACAGGAUUAGAUACCCUGGUAGUCCACACAGUAAACGAUGAAUACUCGCUGUUUGCGAUAUACAGUAAGCGGCCAAGCGAAAGCAUUAAGUAUUCCACCCGGGGAGUACGCCGGCAACGGUGAAACUCAAAGGAAUUGACGGGGGCCCGCACAAGCGGAGGAACAUGUGGUUUAAUUCGAUGAUACGCGAGGAACCUUACCCGGGCUUAAAUUGCAGUGGAAUGAUGUGGAAACAUGUCAGUGAGCAAUCACCGCUGUGAAGGUGCUGCAUGGUUGUCGUCAGCUCGUGCCGUGAGGUGUCGGCUUAAGUGCCAUAACGAGCGCAACCCUUAUCUUUAGUUACUAACAGGUUAUGCUGAGGACUCUAGAGAGACUGCCGUCGUAAGAUGUGAGGAAGGUGGGGAUGACGUCAAAUCAGCACGGCCCUUACGUCCGGGGCUACACACGUGUUACAAUGGGGGGUACAGAAGGCAGCUAGCGGGUGACCGUAUGCUAAUCCCAAAAGCCUCUCUCAGUUCGGAUCGAAGUCUGCAACCCGACUUCGUGAAGCUGGAUUCGCUAGUAAUCGCGCAUCAGCCACGGCGCGGUGAAUACGUUCCCGGGCCUUGUACACACCGCCCGUCAAGCCAUGGGAGCCGGGGGUACCUGAAGUACGUAAACGCAAGGAUCGUCCUAGGGUAAAACUGGUGACUGGGCCUAUAU